GGAGAGGUGCUAGAGUGGCCGAAUAGGACACGGUGCUAACGUGUUAAGGGGGAAACCCCUUCGUGGGUUCGAAUCCCACCCUCUCCG
rnacentral:tRNA from 1 species